CUUUCACCCCUCUGUCUCUUUUCAUCGCAGCGAAUAUGCAAUGUCACAAGGAAUUGAGGAUCAAAAAAAAAAAAAAAAAAAUAUUGUAAACGUAAACGCGUCGUCGUGCCUCCAUUCGAUUUUCUCGAGGUUUAAAUAUUCAGCGGGAAGCAAGGAAAAACGUUUAGAGAAAAAGAUGAAAAGAAAGAAAAAAAGAAAGUAAAAGUAUCGAAGGAAUUAUAUGAAAAUCGUGCGAAGUGCGAUGCGAUCAAAGUCGUUCAGACAUUUGCGAGCAUUUAUUAUAUACGAUUAAUCAUGAUCGAUGAGAAUGGUAAUAAACCGUGAUGAAUCGUGGCUCAAUCGCUGUUAAAUUAACUCGAUGAAAAAUAGUUAACAGCUAGCGAGCGUGAAAUCUGUUUUUACGUACGUUUCGUGUCUGCGCGCGAGAGAGAAAGAGAGAAUGAAAAUGAGAGAGAGAGAGAGAGAGAGAGAGAGACGAGCAAACGUGAUCUAUCUAUCUAUCUAUCUUCCCUUCUAAUUAAUUAAUGUCGUAAUCCACUUUCUAACGUGUAACAUUCGAAUUAAACGAAACGUGAAAGAUGUAUCGCAGCAAAGAUAAAGUGUAAAUUAGAAUUUUCUUCAUCGCGCGUGAAGUUUCGUUGCCCUGUGCAAUUUUUCUCGAUUUGUCCGAUUCGGAGCGUCGAAAAUCUAUGGUUAUUCGAGACGGUAUUUCGAUAAUUAACGAGAUUAAUUUCCAAUCCUCAAAAAUCCUCGCUCCGGUGAUAUCGGAGAUAACCUAAAUCGGUAUAUCAACGACGAUUCAGCAAUUUUUAUACGAUUAAUGCUGUUCAAAAUCAUGUGAUCCAGUGAGACUUUUUUUUAUUGUGAUAUAAAAGAAAAAAAAAAAAAAGAAAGAAAAAAUGAAAAAGAGAGAGAAAAAAAAACAGAAAAACACAAAAAUUGAACACUUUGUUGUACCCGAGUAUAUUAUUCUGGCCACGAGUUCCUUUGCCGCGCGAUCAUUUUUCUAUCGAAUCUACCAUCCGUAAGACUGUUUUCUCACCUAAAAUUCUUAUAUAGUCUUGUACCGUAUAAUUAAGACAACGUUACGUGAUACGGAAACGAAAACUGCCUGUGACACCUUCGAUCCAUCUACUGUGCGUGUUUUUCUACCGUCUUAUAUAUAUAUAUAUAUAUAUAUAUAUCGUGACUAAUCGUUGACGAACGAUCAUCAAUCGUCCUUCGUUUUUACCUUUUACUGCUGAUUAAUAAAUCGACGACGUGAUUAUUAAUAAAAAGGAGGAAAAAAGAAGAAAAAAAACGUAAGGAAAAAAUUGAAAAAAAGAAAAAAAAGAGAGAGAGAGAGAGAGAAGAAGAAAUAAUAUAUAUGUGUGUGUGUGUGUGCAUGUACAUAUAUGUAAUCGUGUCCAUUUUGAUAAGACGUAUGUAACGUAUGUAAUCCGGGACUGAACGAUCUUUUUAAAUUCGUCAUCGAUUUUUUUUAAUAACUCGAUGUCAAUAUAACCUAUUUAACUACGUAAAAGCUUGCUUCUUCCUUCGGUCCGAAUCGACGCGAUGAAAAACGAAGAAUCAAAUGUCUUCUUUUACUGGCGAAAUCAGUUUGUCGUCAUUUAUCGAUUAUUUUAUUAAAAUUAUUAUUCGACGAUAUUUAUUCUUCAUCGAAAAAAAUUUAAUCGCGCAACACGAUCGAAACAAAAUUGAUUCAAGGAUCCCGAAGGAAGAUUAAAAUAAAAUUUAAGAUUUAAGUAUAGUUCGCGUGUCGGAAAGAUAGGAGAUAAUAAAUAUUAGAAAUAUUGAAAUCUAAAUUCGGCGAAUUGUAUUUUUCUUUUCUUUUCUUUUCUUUUUUUUUUUUUUUUUUUUUUUUUUUUUUUUUUUUUUUUUUUUUUUUCUAACUUUCGGACACGUUUCGAAGCGAAGCUAAGAAACAUAAUUAACGAAAACGUAAUUAAGCAAAGAGAAGAGAGAGGGGUAUAAGAACAGUAAAAGAGAGAAAACGAUUGUACGACUAUACGACGUUCGAUUUCCCGAUCUUUCGCUUUUCUUCUUUUCUUCCAUCACCGCGAAUAUUUUUUUUUUCGUUAAGAGAAUUCGAUCGUUAGACGUUCGUUCAUGAUUUUCAUCGGUACACGAUCGCGAGAUCAAGUCUAGUAUCGUUUCGAUAGACAAAGAAACGUUGGUCGAUGAUUCAUUCAACCGAGCGAGCAUAACCGCUUCGAGCCUUGCGAUGGAAGAAGGCUUGUGACGAAUCAGAGAAACCGAGCCGACGUCCAGUUCCGAGCACCGUCGUAAUUAAUUCGCGGGUAUUCGCGAUCGAAGACUGCGUUCGUCUCCCUCUUAAUAAACUUAAAUAAACGCGGCGUGAAUUAUUCGAGGGAAAGAAAAUAUCUCGGCCGAGAUAUUUUCGUCACGAAAAUUGAUCGAUAGAGAGGGAACGAAACGGUGAUUGGUUCUCUCGCGUGUGUAUUACCCGAAAUUGAAAUAAAAGCAUAGAUAAACGCGAGAAACUCGGGCUGGACGGAAACAACACGAUGUCUUCCUCCUCGUGAGCGUAGGAUGGGGAGGCAUCGCGAAAGUAGAUAAUUUCAAUCUUGUGGACCGAUUGAACCAGCGAAUCCCUCCCUACGACGAGAAAAAGCUAAAUAUGUCUGUACAAUACGCGAAUAAUAAUAAUAAUAAUAGUAAUAAUAAUAAUUAUAAUAAUAAUAAGAAUAGUAAUAAUAAUAAUAAAAAUAAUAUUAAUAACAAUAGUAAUAAUAUUAAUAAUAAUGAUAAUAGUAAUAAUGUAAUAUCGGUUCCGUUAUUGUAAUUAGGGAUAAAUUAGAAAGCGAGAAUAAUAAUAUUGUUGACUCGUGCAAAGACGUGUCUGGAUGCCAACUAUACACCGUAUACAUAUAGAUAUGCACAUUGUACACAAAACCACGGAUGCACAUUGUAAAACCGAUUAUAAAAGUCCAUAGAGGAUGAACGAUGACGAGCUCACUUGGUCUUAGCCUGUUUUAGCAGUAAAAUGAAUAUAGCGCACCACCGAAUCAACCGACUGUUGUUAAUUGCUUAAAACGAGCGAGUAAGGAUCACACGACAAAACGCAUAAACGUAUAUACAUAAAGAGAGAUGAAAUAUAUAUAUAUAAAUAUAUAUAUAUAAAUAUAUAAAUAUAAAUACAAAUAUAAAUAUAUAAAUAUAUAUAUAUAUUAUAUUCAGAUAUUUAUAAUAUGAGUGAAAACUACGCAUUGUAGUUGCCACGCGAGAUACCGUAAUUGGCAUGCAUGCACGCGCGUUUCCACGGGUGUUCUCGAGAAUUGGCCGUGUGAUAGUUUUGUGGGCAAAACUCGCGUGGACACCGUCAUUCCAAGUCCCUCCUAUCGAUCGCGGCACACGGAGGAAAAUUGAAAAGGAUAGAAAAAGGAAAAAAAAAAAAGAAAAGGAACGAUCGAUCGAAAAUGAAGAUUUUCUUCCCUUGCAUGUUGCCACGGUACCUCGUCGAAUGGCAUCGAAUACGAAUACUGUACUGUAUUUUACGAUAAGCACCGUAAAUUCUGAAUGUACCUAUACGGAUACAAAAGAAUGAUAUAUAAAAAUGAGCAGAGAGAGAGAGAGAGAGAGAGAAUGCGAGUGCGCGUGUGCGUGAGAAAGUAAAUAGGAGCGUGCAAACGGAGAGAGAUGCGUGUGCAUCGAUCGAUCCUCCAACACUUGGUAUCGGUUCGAUGCAUCGUUUAUACAUAUAUAAAUAUUAUACAUAAUUAAUUCGGGAGGAUAACGGAGAUAGGUGUGUAUAGAAGAAUAAUUUAGACUCUAGUCAGCAUAACACAAUCGUAAUCGACGACGCACACGUUUUUCUUGUUCAUUUCGGUUUCCGUUCUUACAUUGUCAGAAGGGAGAACGCGUUGUUCACAGAUCGCGUUCCCAUCGUUGUUUCUCUGUACUCGACGCGUUCGGGUUUUUCCACACUUAGGGACGAGUUGUAAUGAACGCGUGGCUGCGUUUACGGCUGUUCGUUUGCUCGGAGGGGGUGCGUUGGCGCGGCGAGGGUCUCGUACAUUGUGACUUGUUCGUUAGUACGUAAUAUCGUCGUUAAUUGUUUUUCCUAAUCUUAUCUUUAAUUUCUUUUCUCUUUCUUUCUUUCUUUUUCUUUUUCUUUUUUUUUUUUGUAAUUAUUUUUUCCCACUUCUUCUGUUAUCGACAAUUAAAAUUAAUUUCUUACACGUAAUAAACGCUAAACCUUUAACUUUUUGCAUUGGCUUUCGUUGAUUUAUUUAUCGUUUCGAUUCAUAAAUUCGAUUGCAUAAAGAUCAAGCGACGAGAUCGAUUGGAUGAAAAUCGAUCGUGAAUGAAUCGUUUCUCGAACGAUGCGAUGAACUGACUGCAGACGCAGCCAUCGAAAGAAUCCGAUAGGAAGACAAAUAUACGUUCGAGGGUAAUAUAUAUAUAUAAAAAGAAAAAAAAAAAGGAGCGUAUCGAAGGCCUACUACCACUGAACUUUGACACGUGAUCGAGGGAUUUUUUUUUUUUAAAGAAUCGGAUAUGGUAACGAGCAAAGAAAAGUCGAACGCUUGAUCGUACAGUCCGACCAAAAAUCCAUUAGAAAAUUAGCGGGUACGAAAAUAUCAUCGGGGAAAUCAUCAGUUGUAUCAAUUAGAUCGGUAAUUUUCGAGCAUGAUGUCACGUUAUUCGUAUUAGAGAAUCCGCGCGCGGGGAACGUACAACGUCACACACUAAGACUGCAACAAGUAAACGAAUUAAGAAAGAAAAAAAGAUAAGAAAAAAAGAAAAAAAAAGAAAAAAAAAAAGAAACUACGAGAAGAAGAAAUCGCGACCGAUGAAACGGUGUUUUUUACGAUCAUUAUUGUACCAUUAAUACGAUUAUCGUACGUUUCUUUCUUUUCAAUGUGUUAAUUUCCGCGGCAUCGAGCCAAUCGACGCGCGACAUUUAAAUGCAAGUAUUCGCACAGGCCUACGAUAAGAGAAACUCUUUAUAUACGUAUCCAUGAUGUUUCACGUGUACAUUAAAUAAACGCAAGCAUUAAUUGUCAUUCAGCUAAUCGACGAUCGGACGACAUGCGUAGCGCUCUAGAAAGAGAGAGAAGAGAGAGAGAAAGAGAGAGAAAGAAAUGGGAUAACGACACACUGAAAAGCUUUUGCCUCCUAUCGUAAUGACGACUUUUCACUCGCGUUAUACCACUGCAAUUGGCCUAAUUGAUCACGGAUCCUAUUAUCUCUUUGACCUUUCUUCCCUCGAAUCUAUAAAUUUUUCAUAGCACGCUACUUCCGCUACGUACGUCAACAUCGUAAUGAAACUGCGUGGGGGAAAGAAAGAAAGAAAGAAAGAAAGAAAGAAAAAAAAUGAAAUAUCGCGAGGUCGAAUUUGUUAAUUAUUGAUUAAUUUCCAUUUUGGAUUUUGCACGAAUUUCGCACGUGCGAAAUCGAACUGAGCGUACAAAUAAUUAUUUCUACGAUAAUAGGCGAACGUGAGAACGUUCCUGGAACGUAAUCUAUCACUUUUCUAAUCGAUAAUUUUUAUUUUGAUAAUGGGAUAAUGGGAUUAACACAAGUUUUUUUCCACGUUCGUCACAAUCAAUCGUGAAUUAACUUCGCAAUUCAAAGAAAUUGUGCCGCAGUUGCAUUACGAUUAGUACGCCAACUUUUCAAUUCGACAUAGUACAAAAACGUUUGCAAAGUUGAAACAACUCGAUGAACAAAAUGCGUACAUAUAAUUUGGAGAACAACUAGAAACUCGAACGAUUAAAUUUGCGACACUGUUCGUUUAUUAAUUUCAAAGAUCGAGUACGAGAUUCCGGUUGUUGUCGAUCACGAAUUUCUUUAAGAAAAAUGCGCGAUUUGAAUGAAAUGCAACAAGAAGAGAAGAAGAAGAAAAAAAGAAAAGAAAA